rnacentral:lncRNA from 1 species
GAAGAUGUUAAAGUCCCAUGCUAUCCAAAAGUUUUCUUAACAAAGCCUGGAACCAAACUGAAGCUGGAGCUGUGUGGCAAACAUACUUGGAAUCCUCUAUCAGUGUCACUCUGUGACAGGUUGUGUUCAAAAAUUGAAGUCAGCAGAAGAUUACAUUGCUCUUCUUGGAACAGUUGGCUGGAACAGUGGAUUUGCAGAGGUAAGAAUUUAG